rnacentral:rRNA from 1 species
GAUGAACGCUGGCGGCGUGCUUAACACAUGCAAGUCGAACGAAGCACUUUAUUUGGUUUCCUUCGGGACUGAUUAUUUUGUGACUGAGUGGCGGACGGGUGAGUAACGCGUGGGUAACCUGCCUUGUACAGGGGGAUAACAGUUGGAAACGGCUGCUAAUACCGCAUAAGCGCACAGCAUCGCAUGAUGCAGUGUGAAAAACUCCGGUGGUAUAAGAUGGACCCGCGUUGGAUUAGCUAGUUGGUGAGGUAACGGCCCACCAAGGCGACGAUCCAUAGCCGACCUGAGAGGGUGACCGGCCACAUUGGGACUGAGACACGGCCCAAACUCCUACGGGAGGCAGCAGUGGGGAAUAUUGCACAAUGGGCGAAAGCCUGAUGCAGCGACGCCGCGUGAGCGAAGAAGUAUUUCGGUAUGUAAAGCUCUAUCAGCAGGGAAGAUAAUGACGGUACCUGACUAAGAAGCACCGGCUAAAUACGUG